rnacentral:rRNA from 1 species
UACCAGCUCUCCGAGUGGUAGGGAUGAUUAUUGGGCUUAAAGCGUCCGUAGCCGGCUUAGCAAGUCUCCUGUUAAACUCAGCGACCUAAUUGUUGAAUCGCGGGAGAUACUACUAGGCUAGGAGGCGGGAGAGGUCGACGGUACUUCCGGGGUAGGGGUGAAAUCCUAUAAUCCCGGGAGGACCACCAGUGGCGAAGGCUGUCGGCUAGAACGCGCUCGACGGUGAGGGACGAAAGCUGGGGGAGCGAACCGGAUUAGAUACCCGGGUAGUCCCAGCUGUAAACGAUGCGGGCUAGGUGUUGGGGUGGCUACGAGCCACUUCAGUGCCGCAGGGAAGCCAUUAAGCCCGCCGCCUGGGGAGUACGGCCGCAAGGCUGAAACUUAAAGGAAUUGGCGGGGGAGCACCACAAGGCGUGAAGCUUGCGGUUC